CUGGAAAAACUGUCACAGCCAGAACACUGAUGUAAGGCAAGGCCACAUCCUCUGUCCUGUGAGGCAGGAGAUUAGGGCACGGUGUGACCGAGCAAUCAUGGAGACACAGGAAACAUGUGCCCAAGCCCUGCACCUGGGACCAGUCAGAAAGUGCUGCCUUCAGUUCUUCUCAUGAGAAAUCAAGCAGGUUCUUAAUGAGAUGGCCUAGAUGUGAUAUCUGCUGAGCGGGAAACAAAGAAGAUGGCCACCAGGAAGUUCACGGCCUACUCUUCCAG
rnacentral:lncRNA from 1 species